CAGGCGCUGGACCCGGAAGUGCAUCUGCACGCAUGGCCGCUCUGCCCCGCGGUGCUCAGGUGGGAGUGAGCGCCGUGUCCGCUCCUGCCCAGAGCCAGCGCAGGCCCUGAGGAGCCGUCCUGGACGCUGCUGGCCGAGCCUGAGGGAGACCCAGCGCCCCGGGUCAGGCCGGGGCCAGGUAGGCUGCGGCUGAGGCGGCCGUUACCCUCAGGACUCCAUGCCUGCCCUGAGGAACAGCGAGGUCCUCUCUGGGGGAGCUGGGCGCGGGGUGUGGUCAGCUGAGGAGGCCUUGCUGUCACCGGGUACAGGAGGAUACUUCAGAACGUCACAGGGAACUGAAGUGGAAAGCUUAUUGUGGAACAGAAGUUCAUGUCAAGAGGCCAGCAGAAAUGUCCUCCCAGGCUGAGGAGAGGAGGAUGUGGAGUGACCCCGUGGGAACGUGUGCCUGGGACAGAGCUCCACCGGGAAUUCAGGUUUCCCUACUGAGGAAUACCAUGGAGCAUCUCUUCAGCUCCACCACAGCUGGAGCAGGCUGAAGCCAAUAGUGGGAGCCAGAAGAGAAUCCAGGUGUCCUCCAAAGUAGCAGGAACUCAGUCAUUUGAGCCAUCACCAGUGCCCCCCAGGGCCUGCAUGAACAGGAACCGGAAGUCAGGAGCCUGAGUCGGUGUCAGACCCUGUGCUGCAAUCUGGGAUGCAGGCAUCCAAACUGGUGUUGACGUGUGCUUCACAGGCACGGAGGUGGUCAGUGUGAACGUUCUGUGUGGGCCUGAGAGAGUGUAGAGCCUGCUGCUGUGGGAUGGAGCAUCCUCUCCGUGCCCAGUAGAUGCACAGUUGAUUGAUGGCAUGGGAACCCCAGAAGACAGUGUCAUCUCUGCGCUCAUCUUUCUGGAAUCGUGGCUGUCAGGGACUUCUGUGACCUCCAUGUUCCAGCCAGCUGCUUCCCAUUGGUGCUCCAUGGAAGCCACCGGGCCCAGCUGCUCUCAGGUCCAUGGUCGGCUGCUACCUCUGCCUGAGCCUCGGGCUCUGGGCUGAAGCAGCGUGCGAAGUGGAAAAUCGUGGACCUGUUUCUCUGAUCCAGCAUAGAGACCUUUUAAGGUCCUACAAAGGAACUGUAAAGCUGUGUAUUCCUGCGUGGAUUCCUGCGGACCUCCUUCUAAGGACUCACAAAACAGCUGAGAAUAUUUCUGGGAAUGGCAAGAUUCUGUAGAGUACGGAUCCCGUGAUGUGGACUCCACGCUUGUGUAGAUGGCUUUAAAAGGCCCUGAGGCAGACACCACUGUGCUCGACGGGGAGCUGCAAAAGGAGU